CCUACGGGAGGCAGCAGUGGGGAAUAUUGCGCAAUGGGCGAAAGCCUGGCGCAGCGACGCCGCGUGAGGGAUGAAGGUCUUCGGAUCGUAAACCUCUGUCAGGAGGGAAGAAGUGGUUAUAUGCGAAUAGUGUAUGACUUUGACGGUACCUCCAAAGGAAGCACCGGCUAACUCCGUGCCAGCAGCCGCGGUAAUACGGAGGGUGCGAGCGUUAAUCGGAAUCACUGGGCGUAAAGCGCGCGUAGGCGGCUUUUCAAGUCAGGGGUGAAAUCCCACGGCCCAACCGUGGAACUGCCUUUGAAACUGGCAAACGGGAGUGUGUGAGAGGAUAGUGGAAUUCCAGGUGUAGGAGUGAAAUCCGUAGAUAUCUGGAGGAACAUCAGUGGCGAAGGCGACUAUCUGGCACAUAACUGACGCUGAGGAGCGAAAGCGUGGGUAGCAAACAGGAUUAGAUACCCGAGUAGUC
rnacentral:rRNA from 1 species